rnacentral:rRNA from 1 species
AUGGCGGGAGCGGCCUGUUUCAGUCUUGGAUUACUAAUGCGUGCUGAGUUGCUGCUGCCUUUUGAUCAGAUUGUAAGUGUAAACUCAAACAGGUGGCGGAAGCCUGUGUUGCUGCCUUUGGGACAAGUGGAAGCAUCACUGCCUUUUCAUGUACAACCACGAGUAUGUUGUGGCUGCCGGAGCAGCUCUCCCCUGUGCCAGACAUUUGCUUCGCCGGUGCCGACAGACAGAUGGAGACGAUGGAUGAAGGAGCAACCGGUGGCUGGCAGCCAAGGCAAAGGCAAGGCAAGGAGGACCUUCCAGCUGCAUCCUCGGAGGAAAUACUGA